UACAGGGGGUGGCAAACGUUUGCUCGGAAUUUAUUGGGCGUAAAGCGCGCGUAGGCGGCUACCUAAGUCGGAUGUGAAAGCCCCUAGGCUUAAGCUGGGGAACGUGCCACCCGAAACUGGGUAGCUAGAGUGCAAAAGAGGGUCGCGGAAUUCCCGGUGUAGAGGUGAAAUUCGUAGAUAUUCGCAAGAACACCAGUGGCGAAGGCGGCUCACUGGCCCGGUACUGACGCUGAGGUGCGAAAGC
rnacentral:rRNA from 1 species